rnacentral:tRNA from 1 species
UCGACGCUUAGAUCGGCACGGUCCACGACGCUGACGAUGUCGCCUACGUAGAAGCUUCCGGUGAGCUGUGUGUGAUCAAUCACGUAGCGCCGAA